AGUAAAAUAAUUGAUCUGAACGCAAACGUUACAUGGGUUUUUUUGGGGUCUAAAGCUCACAUUAAAAUUUAGGUUAAUCUUUGCAUUUUCUUUGUAUGCCUUAUCAUUAGUACAUGUAAAAGUAUAAACGCACAUGUUUUUCUAAAUAAAAAAUUUAGAGGAUGUUCCCUACUGGGAGGUCCAAACUAUUUUAAUUUAACUCUUUUUAGAAAAAUAUAUAAUUUUCAACGUGAGUUUAACUCAUAAUCUCUUAGAUUCAUACUAGAUUAUUCAAGAGUUUUAGUACGUAGUUAAAACACAUGUUCACGCUGUAAACGGAUGAUCACUUUCGUGAACUUUUGAAGACGAUGCAUUUGUUUCUUUUUUCUGUCAUAGGUACAUAACAAAAAUAUUUGAACAUUUUAAGGAAAUAUUAAAUAAAUGAUAGGAACUUAACAAGAAAAAAAAUAAAUAGCGAGGGAGAAUAUUUGGAAAGAUGAGCCAUAUUAACUCCGAAAUUCAAAUGUAUAUUGGGAGUGACAUAACCCCACCAACAUGCCUUGCGUUCUCUCACAAACCUCAUAAAUACUAAAUUGAAAGGUCGUGGGAGUUCCUUUAACUAAUCGUUAUCUAGUUAUGUAUCAUCCAUAGUUCAUUUGUUUAUAGUUUAGAAUCAGAUACUCGUAUUACAAAAUAAAUAUAUACAACAAUUUAUUACUGUAUAAAACACCAGUAAAAUACGUGAUGAAAACUUCGGAUAUUAGUUCAUGCUUAUUUUGUCGGGGCUACAAAUGGAUUAGUUCAGUUCAUGUAAUAAGAAACCAAUCAAUUCUCUUUUUCUCUAUGAUAAAAUAACUAAAUGCAUAUUUAAUGGAAAAGAAACAUAUUAUAUUGAUUUAAAUAGAAGAGUUUGAGGUGGUUAGGCCACAUAUUUAGAUGUUAUCAGAGACCAAUUUGUUAGGCCACUGCGACAACGAAUUUCUUGGAAAAUUCAUCUGAAAUUAUUUUGAUAAUUGAUAUCAUCGAUUGUAAAAUAUAUAUAUAUAUAUAUAUAUAUAUAUAUAUAUAUUUAUACACACUAGUAUAAACAAUUCAAAUUUAACAAGAACACAUACUAAUACCUAUAUUCAAAAAAGUAUUCUAUAGAAACAGUUCAAAUUUAAUAAACAACCUCCUUUUUGGUAUGGGGUUGUUGGUCUAAUUUAAUGCAUAGUCUCUUCUUCUUCAACCAUCUUCAUAUUUAUAUCAUCUUCUUCACUUCGCAGUCCCAUAGACUUUGUAAAAUAGCCAAACUCUUCUUUUCUCCCUUGAUUCUUCUCCUUACUACUUUUGACGUUGCCUAAGAGUUUUGUAAGGAUCCAGUGACCUUUCCCGGUAAAGUAAGUUUUUUGUGCCGACAAUCAUUUCUUAUAUAAUUUGAUUUGAUGUAUAGUUGAUGCUACUCUUUUGUUCUCGAUUUUCUGGAGCUGACUAGUGAUAAUCGGGUGAGACUGGUGUUGAUGUAAAGGUAACGCGAGAUAUUAGUGCGGUUCAAUCAAAUAGUCGUACUCUUAGCUAUUAGAGAUCGGUUUUGUUCGAUUGAGCCGUGCCAAUAUCACGCAUAAAACCAACAUGGCAAAGAUGGUUAUUAACUUAUAAAGUAUAUUGUCAGUCUUCUUUAAGCUUCCAAGGUAGAUGAUGUUAACAAGUAACACAAACCACAAAAUCCAAGUACAAGGGCGAAAACACUUCUAUUUUUAGAAAGUAUCAAAGGAAUUUCAAGCAAAGAAUAUGUAGUAACAUGCUAAGGGAGUAGAAGUUGUAGCUAUAUCGUAAAUGUUGUCGUGAUUUACAAUAGUGAGAAUGUUGCAACAAUUCUAAAAAGUUAUAUGUUUUUAGUUUGUAAUUAUCUGCACUUGUAGACAGAUUUGUCUUGGUUUUAUUUAUUUAAUAAGUGUAUGGUUUAACAGCU